CAAAUAAAAAGCAAAUCAUUUUAUUUAAAUUGUUGGCAGGUCAACACUACUAUAUUGGAAUUUCUUAUUUAGAAUUCAUCCAGGACUGGAAGCACCUGAUGUGCUGAAACUUUUCUGCUUCUCUGAACUAUGUUUUAGAUCUUGACUUCUCCUGGAUGAUAAUAAAAGUGUUUAUGCAUAUUGGUUUGGCAAGAAACCAGAUAAGCAGCUCAUGUAGAAUAACUUGGCAAAGGAAACCUCUGCUUCUGAUGACCAACAGGACAGACACUAAGUAAAUGAGUAUUAAAAGUGAGCAAGCAG